rnacentral:rRNA from 1 species
AGUGAACGCUGGCGGUAGGCCUAACACAUGCAAGUCGAACGGCAGCACAGUAAGAGCUUGCUCUUACGGGUGGCGAGUGGCGGACGGGUGAGGAAUACAUCGGAAUCUACUUUUUCGUGGGGGAUAACGUAGGGAAACUUACGCUAAUACCGCAUACGACCUACGGGUGAAAGCAGGGGAUCUUCGGACCUUGCGCGAUUGAAUGAGCCGAUGUCGGAUUAGCUAGUUGGCGGGGUAAAGGCCCACCAAGGCGACGAUCCGUAGCUGGUCUGAGAGGAUGAUCAGCCACACUGGAAAUGAGACACGGUCCAGAGUGCUACGGGAGGCAGCAGUGGGGAAUAUUGGACAAUGGGCGGAAGCCUGAUCCAGCUAUACCGCGUGGGUGAAGAAGGCCUUCGGGUUGUAAAGCCCUUUUGUUGGGAAAGAAAAGCAGCAGGUUAAUACCCCGCUGUUCUGACGGUACCCAAAGAAUAAGCACCGGCUAACUUCGUG